AGAUACUGUUAUUGUUCUAGCAAUUGUUAUAGCGGUUGUUAUUGUGAUUGCUUUGGGGGCGUUUGGAUUACUCAAACUAUCCCUCAGUGUGAGAAAUACUGGAACACAUAGUUCUAUAGAGAAAGGAUUUAACUUGUCAAGAGCUAAACAGCCUAGUUGGACUAAUUAUAAUGAAUCGUGGGCAUAUAAUGGUUCACUGCCAACACGUUUUAAUUCUUCAUCAUUUGGACAGAGGGUAUCAGAAUCGGUGCUUUAAACCAACAGCGAGAACGAUGAAGUGCUGGUUUUGAUUCCACAGUUUGAUUAUGGAGGAACACAAAUUGAUGUGUUUAGAUUUCACUGUUAAAAUAUAUCUUUAUCAGUUAAGAUAAAGAUAAAAACGAGGCGGAACUAGUUUGGUUUAAGCGUAUCUAGGAAGAUAAAAUGUAUAGCUUCAAGGCAAAAGACAGUCCUGGACAUUCAAUACUUGAACAAUUUUAUAUAUAUAUAUAUGUCAUAUAGAUCUGAAUCUACCUUUUGAUAUACUAAAAGUAUAUACAAAAGCUGUUUGUGACUCCAAAAGAUGAAGUGUAUAUAUAUGUCCGAUUAUGUCGACAAUACGACACACAAACCAUAUCAACUUUUGAUAUAAAGACUUUGAAAUACAGUUGACUUGUAUGUCAUGAUACUUCAGCACGAGAAAACACAAAUAGUAAAUAAAUAAAACAAAAUACUGCAAACAAAUUGCAAUAAAACCAUUUUAUUUCCCAAAGGACUAUGUGAACAGCCAGCUGUACCCGAAUAAGUUUGUUCUAAAGUUGUGAUCUAACAAAAUAAACAAAGAACACAACUUAUGUCACACCUCAAUGUUCGAUACCGUGCACAUCUCUUAGUUCUUUGAUUUUAUAGGGAUUUCGUAGCAGCCAUGUUAUGUUUGAAAGCAUUGUUAUAGCUACAGAUCUGUUAUUCAUAUCAUGGAAAGUAAGUUUUUUUAUUUAUUUUCUUUGGAACAAAUCUGGUUAUCUACAAUUGUUAAAUACAUUUUAAAAAGUAAUAAAAUAAGAAUAUAUCAGCUAAAUGUCAAUGUAUUUUGUUAGCGCAUA